rnacentral:rRNA from 1 species
CCUACGGGAGGCUGCAGUGAGGAAUAUUGGUCAAUGGGCGCGAGCCUGAACCAGCCAAGUAGCGUGAAGGAUGAAUGCCCUACGGGCUGUAAACUUUUUUUAUAAAGGAAUAAAGUGAGGCACGUGUGCCUUUCUGUAUGUACUUUAUGAUUAAGGAUAGGCUAACGCCGUGUCAGUAGCCGCGGUAAUACGGAGGAUCCGAGCGUUAUCCGGAUUUGUUGGGUUUAAAGGGAGCGUAGAUGGGUUGUUAAGUCAGUUGUGAAAGUUUGCGGCUCAACCGUAAAAUUGCAAUGGAUACUGGCAGUCUUGAGUACAGUUGAGGUAGGCGGAAUUCGUGGUGUAGCGGUGAAAUGCUUAGAUAUCACGAAGAACUCCGAUUGCGAAGGCAGCUUACUAAACUGCCACUGACAUUGAUGCUCGAAAGUGUGGGUAGCAAACAGGAUUAGAUACCCUUGUAGUC